rnacentral:rRNA from 1 species
UACGUAGGGUCCGAGCGUUGUCCGGAAUUAUUGGGCGUAAAGGGCGCGUAGGCGGCCUGUUAAGUCGAACGUGAAAUCCCCGGGCUCAACCCGGGAACUGCGUCCGAUACUGGCAGGCUUGAAUCCGGGGGAGGGAUGUGGAAUUCCAGGUGUAGCGGUGGAAUGCGCAGAUAUCAGGAAGAACACCAACGGCGAAGGCAGCUCGCUGGGACGGAACUGACGCUAAGGCGCGAAAGCGUGGGGAGCGAACAGG